rnacentral:tRNA from 1 species
UAGAAAUACUAGUUAAUAGUAGGGGCGGAUGUAGCCAAGUGGAUCAAGGCAGUGGAUUUGGGA